CCUACGGGUGGCAGCAGUAGGGAAUCUUCCACAAUGGACGAAAGUCUGAUGGAGCAACGCCGCGUGAGUGAAGAAGGGUUUCGGCUCGUAAAGCUCUGUUGGUAGUGAAGAGUAGAAGACGGUACCUGCAAAGGAAGCACCGGCUAACUCCGUGCCAGCAGCCGCGGUAAUACGGAGGGUGCGAGCGUUGUCCGGAUUUAUUGGGUGUAAAGCGAGUGCAGGCGGUUCAAUAAGUCUGAUGUGAAAGCCUUCGGCUCAACCGGAGAAUUGCAUCCGAAACUGGUGAACUUGAGUGCAGAAGAGGAGGGUGGAACUCCAUGUGUAGCGGUGGAAUGCGUAGAUAUAUGGAAGAACACCAAUGGCGAAGGCAGCUCUCUGGUCUGCAACUGACGCUGAGGCUCGAAAGCAUGGGUAGCGAACAGGAUUAGAUACCCUUGUAGUC
rnacentral:rRNA from 1 species